rnacentral:lncRNA from 1 species
AUGGCCACCACCACCCGCACAUCGCCCACACACCUCGCAGCUGAAACUUCAGCAGCUUCAGCCCGGGCCAAAAGCUGCCCGCGGUCUCGGGGGAGAAAGGCGCAGCUGAAAGCCGUGAACGUCGCGGCUGUGAUGCCAGGCACGCCGAGCUGCCCGGCCGCAGCGCUGCCCCUCGUAGCACCGUGCCCGGCUGAAGGACAGCCCAGGGGCAGCCCCAGCAGGGACCGGGCACCGGGGCCACGCCUCGCCCCCCGCCCCGCCCCGCCGAGCCGCUCACGCUGCUGCCGCCGGUGUCAGUCGCGCCGUGCUCCGGCGGUUACUUAUCUCCGCUUAUUCACUCGCGGCGCGACCCGUCUGCUGGGAGGGUGUGUGUGUCCCGUUCUGCCAGACGGCGCUGCGCCCUCCUCUCGAGGCAGCGAGCUGGCCAGCGCGUUUUUCUCCACUCUAGCUUAAUCCCUGUAUCCAAUGGAGAUAAUGAAUUGAAAAAGUGAAUUCAGAUACAUGAAAGUUCACAUUGGAAUUCCCUGCAAACUCGUGCUAUCACCCAGCCAAGACCAAACUGGUAUUUCCUGAGGUAAUGAAAACUGUUCUUUUGCCACUUUAGUCCCAGGUGAAAUUUUCUUAGUUCAGUAAAAUCUUUGAGUUACUCCUUGCGGAAGUGUAUAGUUACAUCUAUAUAAAAUUGUACUGAACCUAUAACUUCAGCCUCCAGUUUACAAACUGCCAAAUGCAGAAGCAUUUUUAAAAAGACUUCUUUGAGAAAAGGAUGUGCUCUCUUCUAGUUUUUGUCUGCUUCCUGCUCCGAUCCCGUAGGCUGGCGGACACAGUCACCAGCUGCUCCAAUACAGUUGCUUUAGAUCCUGAUUCUGGUUGCAUAAUGCCAUUGGGUUUGUUGUCCAAAAUGGGUGUUACCAUCAGACAUAAUGGAAAGGACAACUGCUCAUAUAAAUUCUUCUCUCCUUUGUCCUCAGAAAAGACCAUCCUUCUGGGUGAGCCCUAAGAUGAUGGUGAGCGGCUAAAGAUAUUUGAAAAGAUCUCAUUCGAUGCAGGAGAGAAACUGCACAAAGUUUAGUUUUGUUUGCUGGUGCUUUGGAGUGCUUCUUUAAAAAGGAGUGACUCAGGGCAAUGAAGAAUUUAUGGGAAGUUCAGUUAUUCCUUUGGGCGGCUAAAGGAAAGCCAUUUUCUCAAAGGAAGUGGAAAGCAGAGAAAAUAUAACAAUCUGAUUUUCAUUUUACACAUCACAGUCUUCUGUAUAUGAGCACCGGAGUAGCUGAGUCCUUAAAAGAGAAAACUAGAUCUAUUUUUUUUUUUGCAUUGCUGUAGCGAGACUGAAAAACUGUUUUAAAACCCAAUACCAAUACAGAGUGGUAGUCAGUUUAAGUGGAGGAUGAGAUCACCUUUGAAAAUAAAGCAAAUGAAUUUGAGAGAAUAGGUAGAAUA